rnacentral:misc_RNA from 1 species
AGCCUCUAAGGGGGAUGGAAGAUAUUCUUUCUUUGAUUAGAUUAUGCGAUUGAAGGUUUUCAGUUUUCCUCGUAGGGCUUGUAGCUCAGUCGGUUAGAGCGCGCGCUUGAUAAGCGUGAGGUCGGAGGUUCAAGUCCUCCCAGGCCCACCAGUUCCGCUAUGCUGCACUUUGCUCUGAUAAGCUGAGAAGGCGCUCAGUGAGACUGAUCGUAAUCCCUUUUUGGAUAAUUCCUUAAAAGAAUUUAUUGCCUCAAUCAAUUUUUUCUAAAAGUGUUUAGAACCUCCAUAGAAACUUAAAGCUUUCUAGAGCAAUGAACUCUUCAUGAGAAAUUUGGGCCCUUCGUGAGAAAGUAUUGUCUCUCCUUUUCAAUAAGGGACAAAACAGGGAAAAGAGCAGGCCAAUAUUGUGUCUCUGUUUGUUUUAAAAAGCUUCUGUUUUUUAGAAUAUAGCGUUUUUAAAAGAGCAAGAUGUGAGGG